rnacentral:rRNA from 1 species
AGUGAACGCUGGCGGUAGGCCUAACACAUGCAAGUCGAACGGCAGCACAGUAAGAGCUUGCUCUUACGGGUGGCGAGUGGCGGACGGGUGAGGAAUACAUCGGAAUCUACUUUUUCGUGGGGGAUAACGUAGGGAAACUUACGCUAAUACCGCAUACGACCUACGGGUGAAAGCAGGGGAUCUUCGGACCUUGCGCGAUUGUAUGAGCCGAUGUCGGACUAGCUAGUUGGCGGGGUAAAGGCCCACCAAGGCGACGAUCCGUAGCUGGUCUGAGAGGAUGAUCAGCCACACUGGAACUGAGACACGGUCCAGACUCCUACGGGAGGCAGCAGUGGGGAAUAUUGGACAAUGGGCGCAAGCCUGAUCCAGCCAUACCGCGUGGGUGAAGAAGGCCUUCGGGUUGUAAAGCCCUUUUGUUGGGAAAGAAAAGCAGCAGGUGAAUACCCCGCUGUUCUGACGGUACCCAAAGAAUAAGCACCGGCUAACUUCGUG